GAGAGGGUAGAAAGCUUGUAAGAGCCAGAGUCAAGGAGAAUCCACGUGUGCUGGACACAACAGGAUGCCUGCAUUUAUGAGUUCACAACUGUGGUUGCCUGCUCAAGAUUAAGCCAGUUUACACUCCAGCUUGGAGGAGGAGGCUCAUGACUCCCUACCCCUACUUGAGUGCCAGUGACAGUCAGGACUUCUAGGGAAGAGAGUCAGACUUCUUUAAGGGUUUUGGUUUUUUUUGAGACAAGGUUUCUCUGUAUAGCCCUAGCUGUCUUAAAACUCACUCUGUAGACCACGUUGGCCUUGAACUUACAGAGAUCUGCCUUCCUCUUUCUCCCAAGUGCUGGCAUCAAAGGGCGGUGUUCUCAUGACCUGAUCACCACCCAGCUCCUUAUGGUCCUGCCAUCUCCCACGACUGCUACAAUAAGACCAAGCUUUCAGCAACUAAGGCAUGGGGAAACUAACCACAUUCAACCCAUGGCCGGGUUGAUGACUCAUUUUGAAUCAACUUUUGUGGAGGAUUCAAGGUGUGUAUCCACAGUCAUUGUGAUUUCAUGUAUUCAUCUGGUUGUUCUAGCACAGUUCAUUCACUGGAAAGACUGUCCUUUCCCCAUCACCUUUGCACACUUGCUGAAGAGGAGUCGCCCGCAUCUGCCUGACUCCGUUUCUAGAUUGUCCUCUGUUCCACUGGACUAUGCGUACAUACAGCUGUUGUGUCACAGUCAUCUUCUUUUUUUUUUUUUUUUAAUUUUGGUUUUUCAAGACAGGGUUUCUCUAUGUAGCCCUGGCUGUCCUGGAACUCACUCUGUUGACCAGGCUGGCCUUGAACUCGGAGAUCUACCUGCCACUGUCUCCCAAGUGCUGGGAUUAAAGGCAUACGCCACCACUGCCUGGUUGUGUCACAGUCUUAACCAGUGCAACCCUCUAGGAAGUUUUGAAAUGGGGUAGUGAGAAUACAUCAACACUUACUAAGUUAGUUAUUCUAAAUUCUUUGCAUUUCAUAUAAACUUUAAAUUCAACUUGCUGAUGUCUACAAAACACCUUGCUAGAAUUUUACUGAUAUUUCAUUGACUCUAUAGUUCAAGUUGGCAUAUCAGCUAUAACGAGUCUUUUAACCCACCAGCAUAGAAUAGCAUAGAUAGACAUAAGCUGUUGCUCCUGAGUCGCUGAAAGGCAAGCUGGUGGAAAGCCUAAUUUACAAUGACUGGUUCCAGAUUUGGGCACCAGAUGAAUGGGAAAAAGAAAUAAAAAAGGAAAUGACAUGACUCUCCUAGGUAUGGUGGAGGAGACAGUUUAGUGUUGAUAAAAGGAAGAGCAUAGCCAGAAGCAGGGACAUCUGGAAGAGUCCAGAGUGGACAUGAUCAGAUUGAGCCAGGCCAUGUGAAGAGAGGUGGGAGGGAAGGGGAAAGAGGAGAGAGGAGCUGUCAAUCAAGGACAGCUUGGGCCAAGAGACUGGCAUAUCCAAAAUGACUGGGUUAUAUAGGAAAGGGCAGUCCAGCCCUCAGAUUGGAGACAUUUAGAGGAGGGGGCAGGGUAUGCCACCCAGGAGGGCCCUGUAACAGGUAGAAACUGAGGGAUGCUGGGAGAACCUGGAAGCCAGCAUCUCCUUUGAUAUGUUAAAUAGGCACCUCUGCUGUUUGUCUUGGAUUUGAGACCUAACACCUGGCAGCAUCUGAUAAAGCCCUUCUUGCUGCUUCAUGCCCUGGUGAAAAACAGAAGGGUAAGAAAAUGGGGUACGGCGCGGGUAGAGCAAGCAUUCUUUCAUCAGAGCCCACUCCUACAAUGACGAAUCUACUUGAAGCUAUUCUUGAUAACAGCAUUCAUUCAUGAGAGUGGAGCCUUCCUAAUCUUAUCCCGUCUUAAAUGUCUCAUCUAAGGAGCACAUACCAAUAGGCAUGCUAAUGUGAAUGGGGGAAAGCUCAGGAAAUUCUAACCCUACACAAAGAACUACAGGCAACUAAGCAAUGCUGAGAGCCAGAGAAAUAGUCUUACCCAGGGAAAACUGGGUAUCCAAUACCAAGUGGUUAGUCCUGAAAACAUAGACAUGCAAGUAAUGUUAUACUGACUGAGCAGGUUGCAUUUAUAUAUUUAGG